GAAUACCCGCUGAACUUAAGCAUAUCAUACGGCGGAGGAAA
rnacentral:rRNA from 1 species